rfam:Culex pipiens quinquefasciatus supercont3.164 genomic scaffold, whole genome shotgun sequence.
GAAGGAGCGGCCGUGGCUGACGGUGUUCGCUUUGUAAGCGAAUGGUUCUGGGUUCGAUUCCCAUCUGCUCCC